AUUGAACGCUGGCGGCAGGCCUAACACAUGCAAGUCGAGCGGAUGAAGGGAGCUUGCUCCUGGAUUCAGCGGCGGACGGGUGAGUAAUGCCUAGGAAUCUGCCUGGUAGUGGGGGAUAACGUCCGGAAACGGGCGCUAAUACCGCAUACGUCCUGAGGGAGAAAGUGGGGGAUCUUCGGACCUCACGCUAUCAGAUGAGCCUAGGUCGGAUUAGCUAGUUGGUGGGGUAAAGGCCUACCAAGGCGACGAUCCGUAACUGGUCUGAGAGGAUGAUCAGUCACACUGGAACUGAGACACGGUCCAGACUCCUACGGGAGGCAGCAGUGGGGAAUAUUGGACAAUGGGCGAAAGCCUGAUCCAGCCAUGCCGCGUGUGUGAAGAAGGUCUUCGGAUUGUAAAGCACUUUAAGUUGGGAGGAAGGGCAGUAAGUUAAUACCUUGCUGUUUUGACGUUACCAACAGAAUAAGCACCGGCUAACUGCGUG
rnacentral:rRNA from 1 species